rnacentral:snRNA from 11 species
AUACUUACCUUCUUUGGAUGACUGAGCUCAAGUUUUCGGUUCAUCUAUCCUGAUCAGCUGCAUUGCACAGCGCGGACUGGUUAGGGUAUGGCUUUCCUUCGGGGACGCCACAGGGGCAAUUUUUGCUGGACUGCCAUUGGCAUUU